UUAUGCUCAUUUACAUAAUCGCCCCGCCCCAGGUGGCAUAUGCAGGAAACUGUGAUGUGCCAAGGGAGCCCUGGAAAGCCAUCACCCUGUGCUCUGUGCUGGUUUUACAACUAAUACCGAAUGAGGAGGAAGCAGAGACAAGUCUAAAAUGUGGGAAGUCUGACCUGUUGGCUGCAGGCAUGCAGUGGGCAGAAAAAGGAUUAGAAAGUGGAGAAGUAUCAUCGGUUGAUGCUCAGAGGUGAGGUUGGCACAGGAAUCCUUGCUGUCCCAGGUAGGAUCUACCUGACAAUGGGCAAACUCUUCCUCCAUCAAACUCAGGACACAGCAGGGCCACUUCUCCUGGCUGAAGUUGGAGACUCUAUUCUAACUAAAUUUUGUCUUCUUCGAGGCUGACCUUCACAGAUGUGUUGUCUCCUCACUUUCUUGGUGCUGAGACACAACCCCUGACACAGGCAACUUAAAGGAGGAGCAGUUUAUUGGGAAUCAUUGUUUGGUCCACAGGUGGCUGGCUCCAAGGCAGAACAGCAUGGCAGAGAGGGAGGAGGAGGAAAAGCUGAUCCUGUCAUGGAUGCUCAGGAAGCAGAGACAGAAGGGAGGAGUCAAGGAAAGUGAAGUGCAUUUUCAGGGUCAAGCCUGCAAAGACCACCUCUAACCAGCCCCACUUCCUAACAGCAAGCCAGUGGAAGCACCCCUACAAUCCCAUUACCUCACUCCACCUAUGAGCACGAGGCCUUUGAGGGCCAUUAUCCCUCUGAAUUGUAACAUCUGUGUUAGCCACCUGCUUUAUCAAAACCCCGGGGCCCUAGGAAUCAGAAUGGAUGGGGUUCUGCCCACUGACCUAAUGGACAAUCCUUAGUGCCUGUGCGGGAAUCUAAGGGGAAGAUCUCUGGCUGCCGGCAGGACACCAAGUCCCUGUACUCACAGACACCCCAGGACAUUUUGUUUCCCAGACUCUAGCAGCUCCUCGCACAGAUCCUGCAGCUGUGGGAGCAGAGGCAGAAGCUGAUGGCCCCACACCAUGCGUUCUAGCAAAUGUGAGAGUCUGGUGGAGUCAUUGGUAACACUCAGCCUGCCGAAGUCGGAUUUAAGGGCACAGGAGACGAGGGUGCUCCCUCGCCCUCAAUCCUAGCCAUCCCGAAAACAAGCCUCCUGUAGAUCAGCCUCAAACUUGGAGACUUCUUGAAGUGUCUGCCAGUCUUACAAAAUACUACCUCAAGGUCGCAUCUGGUGAGCUACCACCUUUAAUGUCAUAUGCAAACUAAAACUACCUUUUACUUUUUUUUUUUGUACUGGGGACCAAACUCACGACCUUGCACUUGCCAGGCAGGUGCUUAUAUACUGCUAAGCUAAAUCCCCGGCCACUUUUACAUUUUUUAAAUGGUUAAAAAUAUUAAAAGAAUAUUCUGACAUGUGAAAAUGA